UACGUAGGGUGCAAGCGUUAAUCGGAAUUACUGGGCGUAAAGCGUGCGCAGGCGGUUGUGCAAGACAGAGGUGAAAUCCCCGGGCUUAACCUGGGAACGGCCUUUGUGACUGCACGGCUAGAGUGUGUCAGGAGGGGGGUAGAAUUCCACGUGUAGCAGUGAAAUGCGUAGAGAUGUGGAGGAAUACCGAUGGCGAAGGCAGCCCCCUGGGAUAACACUGACGCUCAUGCAACGAAGGCGUGGGGAGCAAACAACGG
rnacentral:rRNA from 1 species